rnacentral:misc_RNA from 1 species
CCGAGUCAGUUUUGGGUAAACCGAAACACUCUUCACCCUUGCUUAAAAGUCAAGUUGCUUCGGCAGGCCUAAAGUCGGCUUCACAGCGGGCUAGCACCUGCCGAAGAUUAUACUCUUUAUACUUGUUAUUACGUUUCAAACAAAAAAAAAACA